UGCCAGCAGCCGCGGUAAUACGGAGGGGGUUAGCGUUGUUCGGAAUUACUGGGCGUAAAGCGCACGUAGGCGGAUUAGUAAGUUAGGGGUGAAAUCCCGGGGCUCAACCCCGGAACUGCCUCUAAUACUGGCAGUCUUGAGUAUGGGAGAGGAAAGUGGAAUUCCGAGUGUAGGAGUGAAAUCCGUAGAUAUCCGGAGGAACACCAGUGGCGAAGGCGGCUCACUGGCUCGAUACUGACGCUGAGGUGCGAAAGCGUGGGGAGCAAACAGGAUUAGAUA
rnacentral:rRNA from 1 species